AAGGACUUAGUAUGAGUUAAAGUAUUUCUACCUUUUAAGUAGAAGGUUAGGUCUUAA
rnacentral:tRNA from 1 species